rnacentral:rRNA from 1 species
UAGGGAAUAUUGCUUAAUGGGCGAAAGCCUGAAGCAGCAACGCCGCGUGAACGAAGAAGGCCUUCGGGUCGUAAAGUUCUUUUACGUGGGAUGAGGAAGGACAGUACCACGAGAAUAAGUCUCGGCUGACUACGUGCCAGCAGCCGCGGUAAAACGUAGGAGACGAGCGUUAUCCGGAUUUACUGGGCGUAAAGCGCGUGUAGGAGGCGCUACAAGUUGGAUGUGAAAGCUCCCGGCUUAACUGGGAGAGGUCGUUCAAGACUGUAGAGCUAGAGUGAGGCAGAGGUAGAUGGAACUCCGGGAGUAGUGGUGAAAUGCGUAGAUAUCCGGAAGAACACCAGAGGCGAAAGCGAUCUACUGGACCUAAACUGACACUGAGACGCGAAAGCCAGGGUAGCAAACGG